AAUCCUUUGCUCCCACUGAUGAGUCCAUGCGAUUGACUUCUUUUUUUCUUGGUGUUAUAGGGGGAACUUUGCAUCUCAUCGAGGUGUGGCAAUCCAAGCCUCUGGACUCCCAACAUUGCUUUCGUUUUGGUGCCUUUGGUCUGAAAGUACAAAACAAGUACAGGAGCUGUGGUGUCAAAAAUUCUAGAGUUCUAGACUUCUGACUUCGACGGUGUAAGGCGAGGACAGCAGCUGCAGUCAGGACUCCGGAGCUUCAAUUUGAAGGAGGGACUGUUCUGUUUAUAGAACAUCGGAGACGCUGCUCCGGUAUAUUCAUCGGGACGCUGCCCGGCAUGAGUUCAUCGGGACGCUGCCCGGCAUGAGUUCAUCGGGACGCUGCCCGGCAUGAGUUCAUCGGGUCGCUGCCCGGCAUGGUUCAUCGGGACGCUGCCCGACAUGGUCAUCGGAGGCGCUGCUCAGGCAUGGUUUCAUCGGGACGCUGCCCGGCAUGUUGGCUUUGACAUCAUUGACACCCGAAGGUGCUGUUGUGAGGAGGGCUGCAACAGAAAAGAGAAGGUGGUGGAGAGCAAUGGAAUGAGGUCUGAACCUUUUGUCUUCCAAGCUGCUUGCUGCUUUCUCCUUCUUGUAUUUUUUCCACGCUGCUAUGCUCCGUUGCGUCCUCCUGUUGUCCUCUUCACGUUGCGGCGUUGUGUCCCC